CGACAGCGUACCCCUACACCCUUGCACGUGUCCACAUCCUGUCUCUUACAGACUAUCCAAAGCAGCUGCUUCUCUACACUUAGAGAGGAUGAAGAUUCCUUUCACUAGUUGGGAUAAUAGCACCCCUGCUGAUGGCUGCAGAGAUGACCUCAAGUCCCCAAACUGAUCUGGACCUCAGUGGCCAAAGGAACCUGAGAAAUGGGUUUGGAGGUCUUUGAAAGCACCUGGAAACAAUUAAGUGGAGCCUGAUAAAAAUGAGCCCUUUGGAAGAGAAGUCUCGAACACUUGUAUGCUGUUCCACUGUCCUUCAGAAAUCAUAGCUGUCAGAGGUUCUACGACACUUUUUUGUUCUGAGACACUGAUAAUAAGAGAAAUCUUCCAAGA